rnacentral:tRNA from 1 species
GCCAGUGUGGUAUAGUGGUUUGAGUAUUGGACUAUGACUGGAGACCAGGGUUCAAAUCCUAGCUCAGCCA